rnacentral:miRNA from 1 species
CAGUAAAAACCAAAGGUAAAAAAGUUACCUGCACUCUCUCCCAAAUCCCUAUGUAUAUUUAAACAAAUGGAGGUUAUUUAGUUAUUCCAAUGGCCAUUGGAAUAACUAAAUAGCCUCAAGUUGUUAAAAUAUACAUAGGGAUUUGGGAGAGAGUGCAGGUAACUUUUUUACCUUUGGUUUUUAC